CAGUGUUGCAUGCGUGUCGUCAGCUCGUGUCGUGAGAUGUUGGGUUAAGUCCCGCAACGAGCGCAACCCUCAUCCUUAGUUGCCAUCAGGUAAUGCUGGGUACUUUAAGGAAACUGCCAGUGAUAAGCUGGAGGAAGGUGGGGAUGAUGUCAAGUCAUCAUGGCCUUUAUGGGGUGGGCUACACACGUGCUACAAUGGUGUCUACAAUGGGUUGCAAGGUGCGCAAGCUUAGCUAAUCCCUAAAAGACAUCUCAGUUCGGAUUGUACUCUGCAACUCGAGUACAUGAAGUUGGAAUCGCUAGUAAUCGUGGAUCAGCAUGCCACGGUGAAUACGUUCUCGAGACUUGUACACACUGCCCGUCACGCCAUGGGAAUUG
rnacentral:rRNA from 1 species